GGCGGAAGGCGAAAUGGGGAGUGCUUGACAUGAAUUUGCUGGGAAGUCGGAGGAUAGAAUGAGAAGAUUUGUAGUUUCAACACCACUAAAGAUUAUGUGCGGCUGCAGGAGGGCCGAGAGGAACUACUCCACGUUCAAGGUCAGGAGGGCGGCCCUGAUGAGAUACCCCUCGUCCAAGCUCUCUUUUUUGGCUUCUUCUGUGAAUUUGUUUGUGGAACAGAAAGAGCUCCGAAUCUCCCUUCUGGCUGAGAUGUCACAUUUACAACAGCAAUGCCUACCUGGAACGUUCUGACCAGAUUUGCCGAAAGGGCUUGGUUUUGCAGAUGACAUCCUGAAAGUACCUACACUGUCCUUUCAGUUACCCAAAGGCUACUUCAAAUGAAAUAAAAAAAAGAGAAUUCUCAAGUUUAAUCUUACAAUAUGUAGAGAGUCAGAAAAAUCCCAUGGAGAAUGGGAAAGUUACCCAUUCCAGUUUUCUGGCCUAGAUAACUCCAUGGACUGUAAGAACCAUUGGAAUGCAAAGAGUCUAACAAGACUAAUCGCCUAUAAACUUCCCUCUCUGUCAGAAAAAAAAAAUCUAUUUUUCUAUCAUUUCAGUGAUUGACAUUGAUUGUGGACACCCAAAGAAUGGGAAGAAGUGGAGAAAGGAGAAGACUAAAUGUUGUCAGUUGGGGGAAGGAGGAAUGGGGAAUGCUUGACAUGAAUGGGGAGUGCUUGACAUGAAUUUGCUGGGAAGUGGGGGAAUAGAAUGAGAAGGUGCGAAUGUAGACAUUGGUGAUGGUUACACAGCACUGUGAAGGCCUUAAUAUGCCCAAAUAGCAUCAAUUAAAGUAAAAUUUACUAAGACAAACUUAACAGGAAAAAAUACAUAAAGCCAAAAGAAAUAAAACAUCACGAGAACGCUACACACACCAGAUGCAAAUAAGCUCAGGGAUGGGCACUUAAGCUGCCCUGGAUGGAGUGUGAGUUGAUGGCAUCCACAGGAAGCAGGCAGGAAGGAGGCUGCAGAGCCAACCACUCCCCUGGACAAGGUGUUUCCAGAAAGGGCUCCAGGUCUCUGUCCAGAGGGGGCUCGUUCUCCCUGCAGGGUGCAUCAGUCAUUGUGGGCAUCUGGGUCUUGGGCAGGAGCCAGGGCAG
ensembl:lncRNA